rnacentral:misc_RNA from 1 species
GUAGGUGAACCUGCGGAAGGAUCAUUAACACGUAUCCACGUACCACUAGUAAACCCAACUGUGUGAACACAAAUUUCCCCAUCUCGGGGAAAGGUCGCGGGAGUUUGGACCUAAAACGAACUUCACCUUUGUCAUUUUCAACCAUUUAUAACUUACUUGACUGAAACCGAGAUCGGGAUCGGAAACGACCCGUCAUCUCUUCGUUCGGCCUAAAAAACCGAAUCGAUAAACUCUUAACAACUCUUAGCAACGGAUAUCUUGGUUCUC